rnacentral:rRNA from 1 species
AGUAAAAGUCGUAACAAGGUUUCCGUAGGUGAACCUGCGGAAGGAUCAUUAUCAAUUUUUAAAGAUGUGCUGGCACUCCUUCACUGGUUUGCAUGUGCACUCUACAAAAUCUCCUUCUCUUACCCCACUGUGCACACUCAAGUAGACAAACAGAGUUGCAGAGCAAUCUGUGUAAUUCCUGAUUUGUCUAUGUUUUUAUCAAACACCAAUAACAAUUUCAGAAUGAUCUACAGUAAGCUUUUGACAAGCUGAAAUCUAAUACAACUUUCAACAAUGGAUCUCUUGGUUCUCGCAUCGAUGAAGAACGCAGCGAAUUGCGAUAUGUAAUGUGAAUUGCAGAAUUCAGUGAAUCAUCGAAUCUUUGAACGCACCUUGCACCCUCUGGUAUUCCGGAGGGUAUGCCUGUUUGAGUGUCAUUAAUCUCUCAACACAAGAAAAUUUGUCUUGUGCUUGGAUAUUGAAGGUUUUGCUGGUGCAAACAACUGCCAGCUCCUUUUAAAUGUAUUAGCAGAGCAGUGUAGGACUGGCCUCGGUUUGAUAAGAAACUUUAUCUAUGCUGUCGCUGGGUUUCCUCUUUGUGCUCAGCUUCAAAUUGUCUUCGGACUGUCUCUUGAGGCAACAAAUCUCUAUUGAUCGACCUCAAAUCAGGUAGGACUACCCGCUGAACUUAAGCAUAUCAAUAAGCGGAGGA